GAUGAAGAACGCAGCGAAAUGCGAUAAGUAGUGUGAAUUGCAGAAUUCAGUGAAUCAUCGAAUCUUUGAACGCACAUUGCGCCCCUUGGUAUCCCGAGGGGCAUGCCUGUUCGAGCGUCAUUUCACCACUCAAGCCUGGCUUGGUGUUGGGCGACGUCCCAUUUGGGGACGCGCCUCGAAACGCUCGGCGGCGUGGCACCGGCUUUAAGCGUAGCAGAAUCUUUCGCUUUGGAAGUCGGGGCCCCGUCUGCCGGAAGACCUACUCGCAAGGUUGACCUCGGAUCAGGCAGGGAUACCCGCUGAACUUAAGCAUAUCAAUAAGCGGAGGA
rnacentral:misc_RNA from 1 species